CUUUGGGGAAGGCAGAGCUGUGGUCUAGAAGAAGAUGAGGCUGCUGGGUCUUCUCCUGUGCCUGGUGACAGCCCCCCAAGGUGUCCUGUCCCAGGUGCAGCUGCAGGAGUCGGGCCCAGGACUGGUGAAGCCGUCGCAGACCCUGUCCCUCACCUGCACUGUCUCUGGUUACUCCAUCACCAGUGGUUACUGCUGGGGCUGGAUCCGGCAGACCCCGGAGAAGGGGCUGGAGUGGAUCGGGACACUAGUUAUAGUGGGAGCACUGACUACAGCCCGUCCCUCAAGAGCCGCACCUCCAUCUCCAGAGACACGUCCAAAAACCAGUUCUCCCUGCAGCUGAGCUCUGUGACCUCCGAGGACACGGCCGUGUAUUACUGUGCGAGGAACACAG